UACAGAGGGUGCAAACGUUGUUCGGAAUUACUGGGCGUAAAGCGUGUGUAGGUGGCUGCGUAAGUCGGAUGUGAAAGCCCUGGGCUCGACUCAGGAAGUGCACUCGAUACUGCGUAGCUCGAGUACCGGAGAGGUUGGUAGAAUUCUCGGUGUAGAGGUGAAAUUCGUAGAUAUCGAGAGGAAUACCUGUGGCGAAGGCGGCCAACUGGACGAGUACUGACACUGAGACACGAAAGCGUGGGGAGCAAACAGG
rnacentral:rRNA from 1 species